GAUGAAGAACGUAGCGAAAUGCGAUACUUGGUGUGAAUUGCAGAAUCCCGUGAACCAUCGAGUCUUUGAACGCAAGUUGCGCCCGAAGCCACUAGGCCGAGGGCACGCCUGCCUGGGCGUCACACGCCGUUGCCCCCCCAUCUACUCCUUCGGGAUUGCGGGGGGGCGGAUGAUGGCCUCCCGUGCGCCUAGCCGCGCGGUUGGCAUAAAUACCAAGUCCUCGGCGACGCACGCCACGACAAUCGGUGGUUGCGAAACCUCGGUUGCCCGUCGUGUGCGUUCGUCGCGCAUCGAGGGCUCGAAAAAAUGCUCGGCUCCGUCUGGGCUUUCAACGCGACCCCAGGUCAGGCGGGGUUACCCGCUGAAUUUAAGCAUAUCAAUAAGCGGAGGA
rnacentral:misc_RNA from 1 species